GCGCAUGCUCCCGAUUGCGGGACCGGUGAUGGUAAGAUUAGACCUGUCAGGGCAUAUGGGCGGAAACGAAAACAUCAUUAAAUGCCUUAGUGUAUGCUUAUACUUCCUGCCUAUAGGUGACUGGAAUAAGCAUGCAAAAUGUUCUACUAAUUGGGGAGAAUCUUGGUGGCUGUGCAUCUAUUUCUGGAUCAUUGCUUGGGGAGAAUACUGGCUGUCAAUGUGUUUGUUGUCAAGAAAUUGAUAUUUUGGAGAAAACCCAUAAGGCGUAUUGUAUUUAUUGAUGUAUUAGGAAGUUUUUCUGCACUUGGAGUUUUGAUUGCAAUUUGACAAAUGUCUGGAUUGGUUUUCAUUUCAAGCCAAACUUUCUUGUGUUUUUGUAUGUUGUUAGCUACAGUAAAGUGGGUUGUAAGAGAGUAAUUUGUUUUUUUAUUUUUGUUAUUUUUGUGAGAAACAAAUGUGUGGUAUUGUUGAUAAG